GAUACUUGUAGUGAACUGUACAUGUGACGUCAUGAGAGGUCACGGGAGUAAUAAUUUACAAAAACUUCGUCACCAUUAAUUAUUAUAAUCAAAUCAAGAUUGCACUGUCUUCAUGUCUUCACCCACGUGCCAACUUUAAAACGAAUCUGUCAGUUAGAAGUGCCCGAAAUUAUGCUCAAGCGUUUCGAUCUAUGACGUCGCCUGGACGAGGAAGCAAGUUAAAAAAAGCUUGUAAAAAAAAAUGCAAUAAGAAUGAGGCUACUCUACGAGACUACAUCACCAUGUAGUCGAGAAACAGCUACACAGUUUCUCCUACUUUUUAAUGAUCAUGCACUCUGUAGCAAUCCAGUGUAAAUAAAGCAUACUAUUCUGGAGGGUUGUGGUUCAAGUCACAUUACACAUUUUUUUUCAGCUCAACAAGACAAUCUCCACACAGAAAUGUAUUAAAUGAAAGCAGUUUAAUAGAAAAUGUGAAGUUGAAUGCUUUAUU